AAAUUAAACUUGCAAAAAAAUACCACCAACAGCAGCACAGACAGCAAUUGGGGUUGCACAAAUACAGUAAGGAGCAAUUCAAGUUUUCUCACACCUCUAUCUAAAUUUAAAAGCAAAAAUUAAAAAAUAAUUUUUAAAUACAAAACACAAUUUAAACCCCAGAAAAAUUUUUAUUUUGCUUGAAGAUUGUAGAACUUUUUAAAUAAACUAAACUCAAAUCACACAACUUAGACUAUAAAUUUUAGCAUAUCCCACAAUCAUGUGACCAUAGAUUAAGCGCCGCAUUCUAAAAGCUAUGUAGCAUGUAUAGAUCGAAAUUUUUGAAAAGCCUGGGCCGGUUAAUGGUUCCGGGUUUGAUUUGUUUACCUGGGCUUUUAGUCCAGGUAAACAAAUUCAAGAAAGUCAAAAAAUGCCUGGGCCUGGACUCUGGGUACAGGAAAAACCCAGGCCUUUGUGCAGACCCAGCUCGAUCUCUAGUAGCAUUGUAACCUAGAACUCACAGAAAAGGGUAAAUGCUUGAGCCGGAUUCGAAAUAAAAAGCAGGGAACCUCAACGGAUGAUGGAUUGCUAUAAUUGCCUCUACUGGUCAGAACAUAGGAUAUCCCAACCGGUCUCCCAACCCAAUCGGAGAAAGGAAAAAAAUUUCAAUAAAAAUCUAGAUAAGGCAGUUUAACCUUUUGAAAACCCAAAAUCCAAAUUUUAAACUAAACCUUGUUGAUCGUCCAUUAUUCAUACAGGUUAGAAAAGCAUAGCCAUAAUUCAAAUCCAACUUUUGAACAUAAUUAAAGAAAUUGAAGAAUCAAAAUAAAAUGUAUCUGAAAAAAAAUAAAAUUAAUUUAAAAAAUAAUGUGAAAGAAGUAAAAAUCUUAGGAAUGAAACAGAGAUAAUCGAAAAUGUCAAGUAAAAAGGGAAGCCAUUUUAAAUUUGAAUAAAAAGGACGGUAUCUCUCUCUUUCUCUAAUUCCCUUACUAUUUCGUUUUUAAGUUGGGAUAGGACACUUUGUCGCGGUCUCUUUCUCUAAUUCCCUUACUAUUUCGUUUUUAAGUUGGGAUAGGACACUUUGUCGCGGUUUUCCUUUUCGCCCACUUUGUCGCAGUGAUAAAAAAUCGGUUUUUUAACUAUUUUUUCAAAAAACAUUCAAAACUAAAAUUAUUGAGCAAGCGGAGUGAGGUGUUUCUAAUUAGUUGACCGACCUCAAACAAGUAGGGAUUUUUUUACUUGGAUUUUGUUUUUAAGGUAAACAAGAUCGAAAAAUUUAACCAGCGUCAGAGGGGGAUGUACUAGUUUAGAUUCAAUUCAGAAUUUUACUUGAGGGUUACGCAAAACCAAUUUGGCGGAUUUACAUUGUUUUUAAGGUAACAGGGGACAUAUAAGUAAAAAUUAGAAUUAACAGGCUAAUUUUCAGGGGAAAAAUCUAAACUGGCAAUCAAGUUGAAAAGAGCGGUUAGGGGAAAAUGUAUAUAAAAAUGUUGCCUUCAGACACAAACGUUUUUAUAAUCUGUUUGAGAAUUAAUCCUGUCUUUAUGAACAUGAUUUUGUACUAGAGAAAAGAGUGCGUGCCCUUCUCAUUAUAUUCCGAAAAAUUAAAUUGACUGCCCCAAUAAGUGCCUAAUAAAUUUAGAAUAUUAAUGCGCAUGUUAAAGCGCCAAGUCAUUACACACCAAAACGUAGGAGCCAAAUCGUUAAUUUUCAGAAAUAUAUCAAGGACGGGUCGGGUUAAAAAGAAUUUGGAUAGGUUCGAUGUUUUCAGCCAGUUAUUUUCGUUUUUUAGUGCCUAGAGGAAAAUUUUUGUAAGGCCCAGAUUUCUUUUACAGAAAUUUACGUUAGUCGGGUUUCGGAUCGUGUUUCCAUCGAUAUUUUUCGAGUAGGCUUCGGAUAAACCGACCCAUCCUUGAUACAUGUCUAAGGGGGGCAAAACCCCUACAAAACAUGAUUCGGUAUUUUAAAACCCAAAAAAAUUUAGAAAAAAAACCUUAAAACACUCAAAAGCAUUCACCGUUUAAAUAAAAAAAUCAGCUUUAUCAACAUCGAGCAAGGCCCAUUCAGCCCAUCCAUUUCAUCUUUCGCCACCAGUAAAAUGGAUAGAGCAGCAAUAUCAUUUUUAAAAAAUUUUUAAAAUCUCUAAAAAACAAAAAUUAAAAGAAAACUAAGAAAACAGAAAGAAAAAUGCAAACUAAAAUUUGAAAAAAAGAAAACAAAAAAUCGUCAAGUUCCUUACUAUGUCUUCUAUAUUAUCUAUAAAAUAAAUAGACAUUAUGCCAAAAUUGUACAAAUUUAAUUCAAAAGGUCUAAGCGAAUUAAAAAUUUCAAAAUGUUCUAAACAAUCUAAAGUAAUCAAAGCAAUCCUAUUGAGUUGGCGAGAUGCUUGAAUCACGCGUCUCGCUUAUUUUGGACUAUUCCUUGAAAGAAAUAGGCCAAAACCUAGAAAUAACUCGUUUGUUCUCAAAUAUCCGAUGGUUGGGUCAGUCGGCUGUUGUGGUUGGGUCAGUCGGGCUGUUGUGUGAAACAGGUGGACUUUGCUCGUGGCUGCUUGCGCUUCUUCUUACGGGGCGGCGCUUGUGGACUAGUAGUGAGGACUGCUUGUGGAGCGCUUCAGCUGCGUGCUAUUUCGCAAGAUAUAGUACUUCGAUUGGCGCUGAACAACCAGUUUAGAACUGGCACGAACUCCGGGAAUCCGACUGUCUAAUUAAAACAGAGGAGACGGAUGGUCCUUGCAGGACGUUGACCGUGUCUGAUUUCUGCCCAGUGCUCUGAAUGUUAAGCCAAGGAAACUUGAUUAAGCGCGGGUAAACGGCGGGAGUAACUAUGACUCUCUUAAGGUAGCCAAAUGCCUCGUCGGCUAACUACCGACGCGCACGAAUGGAUCAACGAGAUUCCCACUGUCCCUAUCUACUAUCUAGCGAAACCACAGCCAAGGGAACGGGCUUGGCAAAUUUAGCGGGGAAAGAAGACCCUGUUGAGCUUGACUCUAGUCUGACUUUGUGAAGAAUCAUGAGAGGUGUAGCAUAAGUGGGAGUCGCAAGACAACAGUGAAAUACCACUACUUUCAUCGAUUCCUUACUUAAUCGGUAAAACGGGAGUUGUGUCUACGGACCUUCAUUUUUGUUUUAAGACUAGCCACUCGGUGGUUGGUUGACUCGCGCCGAUGACAUUGUCAGGCGGGGAGUUUGACUGGGGCGGUACAUCUGUCAAAUUGUAACGCAGGUGUCCUAAGGCGAGCUCAGAGAGGACGGAAACCUCUCGUUGAGCAAAAAGGCAAAUGCUUACUUGAUCUUGAUUUUCAGUACGAAUACGGACCGCGAAAGCGUGGCUUAUCGAUCCUUUUGAGUUUGUAAAGUUUACAGCAAGAGGUGUCAGAAAAGUUACCACAGGGAUAACUGGCUUGUGGCGGCCAAGCGUCCAUAGCGACGUCGCUUUUUUGAUCCUUCGAUGUCGGCUCUUCCUAUCAUUGCGAAGCAGAAUUCGCCAAGCGUUGGAUUGUUCACCCACCAAUAGGGAACGUGAGCUGGGUUUAGACCGUCGUGAGACAGGUUAGUUUUACCCUACUAAAUACUUGUUGCUAUGAUGGUAAUCCUGCUUAGUACGAGAGGAACCGCAGGUUCAGACAUUUGGUUCAUGUGCUUGGUCGAUAGGCCAAUGGCGCGAAGCUACCAUCUGAGGGAUUAUGACUGAACGCCUCUAAGUCAGAAUCCCGCCCAGUCAUGAUAGCAAUAUAUAUCGCUCUCCGGUGUCGGAAGGCAAAAUGUAUGCCACUUUUUUUGUGGUAGUACAAGCCCCAGUAUCUGGCAUUUUCUUUCUACUAUAAUUGGUAGUUGGUUGCUAAAAGCUUAGCACUACUCCUCGUGCAGGUGUAACGUCGGGGCGCAAAAUCACUUGUAUACGACUUGAAUACUGGUCAGGGGGUUGUAUCCAGUAGAGCAGCUCUUCGCUGCGAUCUGUUGAGACUUAGCCCUUGAUCGGAUGAUUUGUCUUUUUUAUACACUAUAGACCUGUUUAUUAAGGAAUUAUGGCGCGUCCCCGCAAAAUCCGAUACGGGGGUACUAAGUACCAACAACUAUACGAAGACCUUUUUGUACAAGCUUCGUAUAUCCGUUCAACGAUUGCUUUACUAUGCCUGUUUAAAUUUGCAAAUUAAGUUAAAAAAAUGAGUAAAUACAUUUUAAAAGUCCGAUUAUUAUUUCGGACUUUAUUAUUUUUACUUAUUAUCCGAUUAUUAUUCCGGGUACUCCAACUUCCCUUAAAUGCAGACACGAAUUAAGCGUAAACGGCAAAAGCUUAAAAGAGUAAAUCGGCCAUCGUAAACCGAAUCGUGAACACCUCCUGGCCAUUUGCAGCUAAAUGAGUAAAUACAAUAUAACCGAUGUGCCAAAUUGCAAACAGUUUGUGUCCAAUCAGUGCAUGUUGGAAUUUAAUGUGGAUCGAGUCUGUUUUUUAUAUGACAAAAAGUACCUGGGGAUUUACUACUAAUUGAAAAAAAUGUUUUAAAAAGUACCCGGGGUUACUACUAAUUGAAAAAAUUUUCGAAUUUUAUGAUGGGUUGGUGUAGCUUUUAUUGAGAUCUCAAAAUCCCGAAAUCAACGGAAUAUUUUAAACUACUUAGGGGUAUAAAAAAUUUUCUCAGGCCUCCAGAAAGCUCACAAAAAUUUUUACAAAAAACACUUGGUCCCAUCUUGGGGAUGAAUUGAGGAGUCAUCAGUUAUAUGUGCGAAUAAAAAAUUCACUCAGAUUACCCCACAGAUUUCCACAGGAAUUCCCAUAAAACCCCAUGAAACCAGCUGAAUUUCGCAUUGAUUAAAUUACAUUUUAUUCGACCCUGGAACCCUUGAAAAAAAUAGUUUAAAUUAAAGCUGAUCACUUUCAAGCCAGUUAAGGCAGCUCAAGAACAAAUCUAGUUCUACCUGCAACAUGUAAUGUAUAUUGUACAUUCUAUCUUGCACCACUUCUUCCACCCUAUUAUUAUAAUGCCGAGUUAUGGCCCUAAUUGAGCAAUAAUUGCAUAAUUGCACCAAUGAUUAUCGUUAAUAUGGCACCAAUGUAUCGUUAAUAUGGCAAGGGGCCAACUUUCUGUACGCCUCAAAAUUGCCAAUAUCAUUUACUUGUAACUACUUGAAAAAUAUCACGACAAACUACUAAUGAAAAAAUUGUUUGCGGAAUAUACGGAACCCGAACUGUGACAAAAAUUUUUAAAAAUUACAUCGUGUAGAGCAUGUCGAUAGCCUAUUCCCAUAUGUGGCUUUUUUGGCUCCGACCCCAUUUCUAAAGUUAUAGGGGUUCAAAGUUUCAGACUUUUGGAGCUCUCUACCUCAAAGAGAGAUUUUUCUCUUAAUUGAAGAGAAAAAUAAGACUCACAUCCUCCUUUUUUCCUUUCCUUUUUUUUCUAUGUUGGUUAAAGAAGAGAAAAGAAGGAGGAAAUAAAAGGAAAAGGCUUCUCUGCCAUCUCCUCUUUUCGUUUUUUAUUAGCAUUGGGUGAAAGCAGAGAAGCCAUUUCCUUAUUUUCUCUCUCCUUCUUUUCUUUUU
rnacentral:rRNA from 1 species